GAUGAACGCUGGCGGCGUGCCUAAUACAUGCAAGUCGAGCGAACGGACGAGUAGCUUUCUUCUCUGAUGUUAGCGGCGGACGGGUGAGUAACACGUGGAUAACCUACCUAUAAGACUGGUAUAACUUCGUGAAACCGGUGCUAAUACCGGAUAAUAUUUUGAACCGCAUGGUUCAAAAGUGAAAGACGGUCUUUCUGUCACUUAUAGAUGGAUCCGCGCUGCAUUAGCUAGUUGGUAAGGUAACGGCUUACCAAGGCAACGAUGCAUAGCCGACCUGAGAGGGUGAUAGGCGACACUGGAACUGAGACACGGUCCAGACGCCUACGGGAGGCAGCAGUAGGGAAUAUUACGCAAAGGGCGAAAGCAUGACGGAGCAAAGCCGCGUGAGUGAAGAAGGACUUCGGAUCGUAAAACUCUGUUAUUAGGGAAGAAAAUAAGUGUAAGUAAAUGUGAACAGAGUGACGGUAACUAAACAGAAAGCAACGGCUAACUACGUG
rnacentral:rRNA from 1 species